AAAACAAGGUAAAGAGAACGAGUCAGAGAGGACAAUAGAGAUGAAAAUUUCCGAAAGGGACAAUCAACCGAAACAGAGGUGUAUGAUCGUGAACAAAAGCCCCUGAGGUUCUAGUGUCUUAAUCUUAAAAAAUCACUUUGUUAAAUGAAGAAUUGGAGGCCAUAUGCUACAAAGUGAAGGUGAUGUUGGGG